rnacentral:tRNA from 1 species
GGCGGCAUAGCUUAGUUGGUUAGAGCGUUCGGUUCAUACCCGAAAGGUCAUAAGUUCGAAUCUUAUUGCCGCUA